rnacentral:rRNA from 1 species
GAUGAACGCUGGCGGCGUGCCUAAUGCAUGCAAGUCGAGCGAACGGACGAGAAUCUUGCUUCUCUGAUGUUAGCGGCGGACGGGUGAGUAACACGUGGAUAACCUACCUAUAAGACUGGGAUAACUUCGGGAAACCGGAGCUAAUACCGGAUAAUAUUUUGAACCGCAUGGUUCAAAAGUGAAAGACGGUCUUGCUGUCCCUUAUAGAUGGAUCCGCGCUGCAUUAGCUAGUUGGUAAGGUAACGGCUUACCAAGGCAACGAUGCAUAGCCGACCUGAGAGGGUGAUCGGCCACACUGGAACUGAGACACGGUCCAGACUCCUACGGGAGGCAGCAGUAGGGAAUAUUCCGCAAUGGGCGAAAGCCUGACGGAGCAACGCCGCGUGAGUGAUGAAGGUCUUCGGAUCGUAAAACUCUGUUAUUAGGGAAGAACAUAUGUGUAAGUAACUGUGCACAUCUUGACGGUACCUAAUCAGAAAGCCACGGCUAACUACGUG